rnacentral:lncRNA from 1 species
CAGGAUUAGAGUUUGGGACUUUCAGUCCCACCCCCCGACCUCCGGGGAGGAGAGAGGGAUUGAAGGUUAAGUUGAUCUUCAAUGGCCAAUGAUUUAAUCAAUCAUGCCUGUGUAAUGAAGCCUUCAUAAAAACCUAAAAAAGGACGGGGUUUGGAGAGCUUCCUGUAAGCGAACCCGUGAAGGUUCCAGGAGGAUGGCGCACCCGGAAAGGGCGUGGAAGCUCCGCGCCCCUUCCCACAGACUUUCCCCCAUCCAUCUCUUCAUCUGGUGUUCAUCGAUAGCCUUUGUAAUGUCCUUAACUUUUUUGUUUUUCAGAGUGGAGGAAGAAGAGAAUCACCACAUAUCGUAUUUAGAGGUCCUGCAGAAAGGGCAGAGCGAGUUUCAUGUUUGAGUGCAGCGGAUGCAUGGGCAAAGCAUUACACAGCCGCUCCAUGGAAGUGACAAUGAGCCUUGUCUUUCACACGUAACUCCAGGAACCAGGGGAAACAAAACCAAUUCCACCCAGAGGUACAGACAAAGAAGAGCACCCUCCCAAAGGAGCCCGCAUGAUAAGUGGCCACGGCGAACAUCACUGUGAUCAGUCAGAAAGGCAGGCGAGUUAUUAGCUUAGCCCUGAACCUCCUACUUAAUGUAGAACCAGUGGUGAUGGUUAACAGACCCUGGCUGCAGUGACAAGCCUGGGACCUGCUCGAGGAAAUCCAAUUGAAAAGCAGCCAAGAGGAACAACAAGCUAGAAACAGAUGUUCCAGCUACCAGGAUGUGCACGCAUUUAACCUGAACAUGUAGUUGGGGUGGGAUGGUAGCAUUCGUUUCUAAAUAUAGUGAUUUCACUUCUUCCCCCAUAUAGAUAUUGUCAAGUUUAAUUAUAGCCAUCCACAUUAGUUUUGUCAAAUUUUCAGCAAUUUCUUUAAAAUAAGAAGAUGUCAGAAUGAUAACUGCUAUUAAGGGAAUUCAGGGUGUUUGGUUUAUCUACCCAGUCUUACUAAAACAUUUCAGUUAAAUCAUCCACUCUUAAACUCCAGUCUCAUAGCAAUUAAAAAUUAUCUUUUAAAAAAUUGCCCAAAUGAAAUUCCAACAGUUCAUGUAAUUAUUUGAUUUAAUAUUACCAUGUUAGUAAAAUAUCUUUAAGAUAGUUAUAUUUUCAUGAGUCACUUUCUUAGUCACUUCUAGUUCCUAAAUAGGGGAGUUUGGGUUGACAGAGGUGUGAUAACCAUGCGAACAGGGGCUAGAAUAUAAGCUUAACAGAAUCAGUUAAUUAGAUUUGGAAGAGAGUUGAGUCUUGUGAACCACAGUGAUAUGUCAUGUACAUUAGGAAACAUUCUCCUUUACGUCAACACAAUUCUGGUUUUCUCUAAUGGGCUUUAUACGAGGAGAGAGACCAUCUCACUGUGUUGAUUUUUCUCAAGAAAAAAAUCAAUACUCUCAAUGGAUUUUAAGUAGAUCUAAUGUAGUACUGCACUAUGCUCAUAAGAAGAUAAGCAUAUGUAAAAGAUUUUAAAAUGUGAAUUAAUGCAUGCCACACUGAAACCAGAUCAUACCCCACACUCAUGUUGUUAUUAUGUGUACCUAAAGCAAAGAACAGCUGCAGAGUAUUUUCUCUGGUAACACUUCAUUUUUUAUUGGUAGGUUUUAAUCCGAUACAUUUUUGGGGUCACUGAAUUCUUAUUUGCUUUAGAAUGCCCGAUUAUAUCAUUCUGCAAAGGAUAAAAGGGCUUGAGCCAUCAUCCUGUGCUGAAAUUUAUUGAAGGUAUUUAUGAAGAGGGUGAUCUUGAGGAAUGCAAGCUUUUAAAAUCUAAGAACAGCAGCAAAAAUAAAUUAAUCAGGAAUCCAUCACUAAUUUAUACAUGAGUCACUUACGAGGAAGGUAAAACGGUUCAGUAAAUUAUGGAUUUACAAAUAAACUUGAUUCUAGGGCCUUGGAAAAUACUUCGAUUGGAAUAUAGAUCCAUUUUUCCUCAAAACAAUUUUCACUUCAACUUCAGAUGUAGGGGACAUAAAACCAAAUCCCCUCUCUGAAAAUUCAAGGGGAACUCUUUUCUGGUAACGUGAGGCAUGAGUGGUGAUGGUUCACAGGGAUUCAUCUGCUCUCCACAAACUCAGGGGUGGGACCCAUCUAUCGUUUUUCUAACUCAUUCCCAUGAAUUCUAAAUUGUCAACACCUAAGGUUAAUGAUACCUGUCUUUUUGCUGUCAUAAACAGUUAGGGUGGUUUAGCAAGAGAUAAAUCAUCUUUACACAGAGGAUUGUGCUAUUGUUCUCAGCAAACAAAGGACAAAGCUUAUUUCUGUAUAAUGUUAAACACUGUUCUAAUGAAAUAGGCUUUUUUUUCUUUUAUGCAUUAAUGAAAUUAUUAGCCUACAACACAUUUCUUUCUUGAUUUGGAACAUCUGUUCUUCAAAAGUGUGUAGAGUAAUAAUGGAGAGUUUCUACACAUCAUGGCUCACUCUCAUCUCAAAAUAUACACUGAUUUUUAAGGAAUGUGUAGAAGGAAAAGCCAACCAUCCUUUUGAUUAUUGGAUUAACCACCAGAGCUGCCUUCAUCUGAAACAUACUCCACUCGAUUGAGGAUGAUACUUUUAGCUACUAAAUAAAUACACAGAGGAGGUGUGGAAUAACAACUUUACCAAGAAUAGCCAACAAGUUCAUCUUACAACUACUAUGAGCAAAAAGCGUUCAUAAAAAAUAUCUUUUUUUUUUUUUUCUUGAGAUGGAGUUUCACUCUUUUUGCCCAGGCUGGAGUGCAGUGGCAUGAUCCCAGCUCACUGCAACCUCUGCCUCCUGGCUUCAAGAGAUUCUCCUGCCUCAGCCUCCAAGUAGCUGGGAUUACAGGCACCCACCACCACACCUGGCUAAUUUUGUAUUUUUAGUAGAGACGGGGUUUUGCCAUACUGAUCUCGAACUCCUGACCUCAUGUGAUCCACCCACCUCUGCCUUCCAAAGUGCUGGGAUUACAGGCAUGACCCACCACGCCUGGCCCAAAAAAAUAUCAGAAAAAAAAAUUGUUUUCACCCCUUUAAAUAUUAAAUAAUUGAUUUUUUUCUGAAAAUAUUUCUUAUACAAUUCAAUAAGCACACUAAUUUUAGAAUGGAGGGUCAUUAAUGCUGUAACAAAAUUGGAAAUAUUUGCUAUUAUAUGUUUUUAAUACACACUAGGUACAUAUUAAAUACUAUAUCUGUGUAAUAGUUAAACAUAUUAGGUAGUUCAUUAGGUUCAUUUAAAAUUGGCCAAGCUCAGUAGCUCACGCCUGUAAUCCCAGCAUUUUUGGAGGCUGAGGCAGGCAAAUCACUUGAGGUCAGGAGUUCAAGACCUGCCUGGCCAACAUGGUGAAACCCCGUCUCUACAGAAAAUACAAAAAUUAGCUGCGCAUGGUGGCAUGUGCCUGUGGUCCUAGCUACUUGGGAGGCUGAGGCAGGAGAACUGCUUGAAUCCAGGAGGCAGAGGUUGCAGUGAGACGAGACUGUGCACUGCACUCCAGCCUGGGUGACAGAGUUAGACUCCGUCUCAAAAAAAUAAAAUAAUAUAAUGUAAGGCCAAGGGCUCAGCAACAACGUAAUGUAAGGUGCUUAGGUAUAAUUUUACAAUUUUAAGAGAGAAUGUGCUUGAGCUAGGAACCAUUGAGAGAGAGUAGAUGGUGGCAAUAGUCAGUCAAUUGUGCUACAAAUACAUUGCAAUGGAAAAUAUACACUACAAAAUUUUACAAAAGUAGCAAACAAAAAACUUUUUUUUUUUAAUUUUUUUUGACCAAGUCUUGCUCUAUCACGCAGGCUGGAGUGCAGUGGCAUGAUCUCAGCUCACUGCAACCUCUGCCUCCCAGCUUCAAACGAUUCUCAUGCCUCAGCCUUCCAAGUAGCUGGGACUAUAAGCGUGCACCACCACACCCAGCUAAUUUUUAUAUUUUUAGUAGAGACAGGGUUUCUCCAUAUUGGCCAGGCUGGUCUUGAACUCCUGGACUUGAGUGAUCCACCCUCCUCAGCCUUCCAAAGUGCUAGGAUUACAGACGUGAGCCACCGCGCCCAGCCGGCAAACAAAAAUUUACCUAUGAUUCAAUAAAUGGUUUUCCCCUACCAGCCUUCCCCCACCACACAUAUACACUUUUUCUGAUUCUGUUUUACCAUAAUGAUGACACAGGUGCUUAACCAGCUCCGUGAGCUAUUGGGGUGGCUCCUUGCCUUGAUUUAGUCUUGUGCCCACACACUGACCCAUGCAGACUUAGCCAUGCAUCCAGCACAAAUUACGCUAUUUUACAUGUUUGGUUUAAUGUAUUCGUACCUGCUAGACAUUGUAGCCAAAAGAUUGUUUGCUGCCUAAUCCUAGCCAGCUCUUAGGGUGACUGCCUAAGCCUGUAUUGCUGGCUUCACAAGUUUUUUUGUUUCAGGUAAAUAAAAAUCAAAGAGCGUUCGAGGCAGCCGCAUUGACUCACCUUGCAGACAAGCAAGCAGAGCCGCAGAGCAGUGACCCGUGCCCAGCGCCUCGCAGCUAGAGCUGGAUUGGAAUCCAGGGCUUUGCAGGCUUCCUGCUUCACUCAAUCCUCUUUCUGUUGCCUCUGGCCUCAAGGUGUUGGCCUGGGAGGAAGUAGCAGAUUAAAUUCCAUGGGCACGAAGUCCGUAGCUGACGAAUACUUAAUAUGUUGCAGUUUCACAGUGAAAGUUGGCAAGUCCAGGGUGGGAACAUGCCCCAAGCAGCUGAGUCUUCUGGAUUUUACUUCUGUUCUUUGCCUCUCAAUUUUUGAUUUUGUUAUAUAAAAAGCAAAUCAGUAACUAUUGCAUUAUAUUCUGCAGUGACUCAACAGCGACACUUAAUUCAGCCAACCAAGGUUUACUGAACUGCUCGUGGUGCCGGGAACCGUGCUGGGAUAGGAUACAGGGACCAACCAGUCCUGAUCAUUAGCUUAGCCAGAGAGGUAAACUGACUGACAAUCAAUCUGCCAGGGAUCAAUUACUAUGGAAGCUCAUAGUGUGGGCCCCUAACCCAGACUGUGGGUCUGAGGAGGUCUCCUGGAGGUAGUGCUAUCCUAACAGAGACCUGAAGGGUACUUGGAAUCCAGCCACAGAAUACUAUUUACCAUCUCAUUUUACUCUCAUGAGAAUUCUCCCCACUGUAGGCAGGAUGGGUGUUGAUUUAAAAGAAAAAAAAAAAAGUAGCCUGGCGGGGUGGCUCACGCCUGUAAUCCCAGCACUUUGAGAGGCCAAGGCGGGCAGAUCAUCUGAGGUCAGGAGUUCGAGACCAGCCUGACCAACAUGGAGAAACCCCAUCUCUACUAAAAAUACAAAAUUAGCCGGACAUGGUGGUGCAUGCCUGUAGUCCCAGCUACUUGGGAGGCUGAGGCAGGAGAAUCGCUUGAACCCGGGAGGCAGAGGUUGCGGUGAGCCAAGAUCAUGCCAUUGUACUCCAGCCUGGGCAACAAGAGCGAAACUCCGUCUCAAAAAAAAAGUAAACAGAAUAACAAACUUAAGGGUGGCCAGCAUUAGAGCUGGAAUGGAACCCUGAUGUCCAAUGAGCUCCCUGUAGAGUGGACUUUGUACAGGACCAUGUUCUCCUAAAGUGACUAGAGAGCAGGAGCCACCUGUCACUCAAUGCAGCAGCAUUGGACCCUCCCAGCCAAACCCCACUCCCACCUCCCAUCCUACUGGAGUCUCUUUCCCUUCGUCUUGGUCUACUUGAGUAGAUAGGGUCCUCGUUGGUGCAAACAAUCUGUGAUUUAUGACCCAGAUAGUCCUGCCAGGUCACAGAGAAGUGUACUCUGCACCCAGCAGUCCUCAAGACAGACUUAGGCUCUCGGUUCCUGCAAGGCACCCCUAGAGGACAGCCUCU